UUACUACCACUAUAUACUCUUAAGUAAAAGCAAGAGAGCUUUUCAUUUUGAAAAUAAUGCAUGUGGACUCACUCACCAACGUCUUCCUCCAAUGGAGAACACAUCUGAGUAGUAGGUAUCUUUGAGCAGCGUGGAGAAUCCCCGAAUGGUCCAGGUAAAUCUCGGGUUAUAGAAUUUCUCAGCGACAGUGAAAAGUUCAGAUUUUUCAAACAGAGAAGGAACGGUCACAUCAACACCAAACUCGCAGUGAUCUCCAUCGUAGAGGUAUCCAUUUCUUGAGUCUUUAAAAGUAUCAACAGGGAGAACCUGAGAGAAUCCCCACAUCGUUUUGAAGAGAUUGAAUCUCCAUCCAUGUGUAUCUGUAGUAACAAAACAUAGAUUGAUAGAUAUUACUAUACAUAAUAGACCAUCUCUCUUGUUUAAAGAUCACAUAUUUGGUGUGGGGAUUGAAAACUAGCAAAAACCUUGGAUGGUAAAGUACUUCUUCUCUAUCCUGUUGAAGACAUAAAACCUGAGAUCAACGUAAACUUCUUGAUGUGGAGAGAGAGUUGAAUUGUCUAUGGCUACGUAAAGCGAAAGGAACCCUGCACCAUUAUCUUUCUUGUUCCCGUUGGGAUACACAACAAGUGUCCUGCAUAGACAUUUGUAUUAGCAUGUAAAAGAUUCGACACGAGUGAAUAGAGAUCAUAUUAUCAGAAAAGUACCAGUUGUAUCCAGAGGCCGAGAAAGGACGAGAUACGUAUCUCUCUGUGUUCGUUGACUUAAGGAGCGUGUUAAAAGACUCCAUCUUGAGAGAGUAAGUAGCUGGAGGACGAUCUCUGAGUCCCGUCAAUUUGUUUGAAUCUGAGAGUUUAUAAUUACGUGAUGAGAUCUCUUGAUGUUGAUAUGGGUAAUGCGCUUCUCCCUGGAUUGUUUUUGGUCCUGCUCCAUUCUCCUCUGUUUUGAGAAAGAAAACAGAGCAUUUGACAUCAAAACAGAGGAUGUGUCACAAUGUUCAAAUAUAUCACAGUCCAAACACAUAUAGUAUAAAAGAUAUUUAGAUAGAUCCUCAUAAAUAUUGGAUCAUAUCUAAUAGCAAAAGAGAUUUGCAUACGCUGCAGAUUUGUGUUGAGGUCAUCAGUGAAUUGGCGUAUGAAGGAACGUGAAGAGGCAGACGUGAUGAAGAGGCAAAACAAGAGAUUAACAGCAGAAACUGUGUUUGUGUAGUGACUCUUCAUCUUUGAAGGUUGUAUAUGUGAGUGAACUGUAGAUAACAGAGGUUAGUGAGAGUGGACUUAUAUACUUGAGAGGCAUAUUUGCUUUGCAUGCUUAGGAAGACUCCAGAAAUUUAUUAAAUUAUUACAUGAUACUGUUGUUUAUUAUUAUUAUAUUUUUAAUACCUAACUCUUGUGUUUUUUUGCCUCGUGUUUGUCAUGGAAAAUGAAAAGUUGAAAUCACUUUUUGGUUUAUAAGGUGGUUACAUUCAUCAUGGGGAAAUUGCAGAAAAAAAAUUGUAUAUGUUUUUUUUUUUCAUUUUACUUUCAAUCUGUGAAAAUGCAAAACAACCAUCUAUAUAAUGUAAAACCCGCAAUAAUAGCCUCUACGAGUGGUGCUGAUUACUCCUCAUAUUUAAACAAACAUUCGACCAAAAUCAUAAUAAAUCUGACACAGAUUGAAAGAACACAUACUUUGGCUCCACUCGUAUGAUAGAAAUCUAUAUAUAUAAAGUAAAAUGUUCUCAAACUCUAAAAUUUUGACACAUCAUCAAUUCAUUUAUUAAUUUAUAAUUUAUUAUAUUUUGUGUUAUUAUACUUUAAUUCUCAUAGUAACUAUCAUCCAUUAAUAUAACAAGAAUAUGAAUAUACAUUUUUUAUAAAUAAUAGUUUAUAUAUUAAUGCAUUUAGUCAUUAUUAUUUUAAAUUAUUUAUUUUGUUUAUAUGAUUCAACAGAUAUGUAUAGUAAAACAUAAAAUUUUAAGAUAGUCAGAUUUGGAUACAGUUUUGUCAAAUCCGAAAAACAAAUUCUCGGAUCCAAAAUUUUUAAUGUCUAAAAAUAUUAAAAUUCGUUUUAAAACCAAUAUAAAACACUAGAAUAUAACAAAAGACAUAAAUUUGAAGAAAAUUAGAAUGAUAAAUUAUAAAAUUAAAAUGCAUAUAGACGGGUUAGGAAUAUUUGCACGAAUUUCAAAAAGCUCAAGUGAAAAUUAUAUCAUUUUCUAUUUUAAUUAUUUUUGUUAUUUGUAAUAGAAUAUCAUGUAAUAAUUUACAAAAUAAAAUUUAUUUUUUAAAAUGACUACUUAAAUAAUAAUAUAGAGAGUGAGAAUGCAUAUUUGUGAAACAAAUUGUGAUAUCACAAAAUGUUAACAUGUUCAACCUAAUCUUUGAAACAUAAAAUGGGUGAAGUUCCCCUUAAAAAAUUAUAUAGAGCUCAUGUUAGAGAUGUGACAUUGAGAGUGACUAGAAAAAAGAAAAACAUGAGAAAGAUAGAAAUUUCAACUGGUCCAAUAUGUUGUGUGUGGUUCAACAUGUUGCAUUGAUGAGAGAGAGAACAUGAGAGGGAAAGGAGAGUGAGAGGGAAAAGGAUAGUGAGAGGGAGAGGGAGAUGGAGAAGGAGAGGGAGAGGGAGAUGGAGAGGGAGAUGGAGAGGGAAAUGAGUGUAGAAAAAAAAAGAUUAUGAAUAUAUUUUGAAAAUAUGUUAGGGAAUUGAGAUAUUUUUAAAUAAUUAAUUGCCUCUUACAUAUAUUUUUUCCUGAAUACAGUAAUUAAGAAUUGUAUAUGUUCCAAAAUCAUAAACCCGCAUAAAUAUAAAGAUAUCUAUAAACUAAAAUGAUUUAAAGUUUUAAUUGAUAUAUUAUUUGAUUAUUUUUUAUAUGUUUUAUAUAAAUUAUAAAAUACAAUAAGUAUAUAUAAAAAAUUAAAAUACAAAAUCUAAUAAAAAAAAUUGAUAUUGUAAAGUUUUUUCUUAAAUAUGUUAAUAAAUACAAUACAAAAUUCCGCGCGCAGAUCAGCCCCUAGUAAUUAAUAAGAUAGAACCAAAACUUUAGUGUUACUUACGGUGAUUUGUAAUUGUACUAGAAAAAGGACUAGUUUUAAAUUUUGAAGACUUCGAUUACUUUUUACAAUACAAAAAAUAACUUUUUUCUAAAAUUUAGAAUAGACUCAAAGGUCAAUGAUGAAAAGUAAACGCAUUAUCAAACCAGCUUGGGAUUUACCCCAACUGGUAUACUAGUCACAAAGAAAACAAUAUAUCAUGCACAAGUCUCAGUACUUUUUCACCUCCCUAAGCAUCUACUAAAUCAUCUCCCCUUCUAUAUAUAUAUAUUCACACACAUAUCAUAAUCCUGAGCAAGUCUCACACUCUCUAGAGUUCAGUAAUUCAAAAAUCUUUGACAUGAUGAUGAGUUACUAGAAAGAUACUUUAUGUAUUGUUUCUCUCUUGCCUUGUCUGUUCAUCACCUCUUCUUUUGUAGGACCAGUCCCAAACGUGGAGAAUGGUUCUCAGAAACUUAUCCCCACUCAAAUAUCAUCACGUGAUAUACCAAACUCUCAAUAUCGAGUACGGUGAAAGGCCUGAGAGAACGUCCUCCAUCGUCUUAUUCUCUCAAAUUGGAAUCUCAACACACUCAUUAUUCAUUAAGACUCUACCUACACCGAGAAAUAUGAGCCGCGUCUUCUUAGGGUCGGUAGAUACAAUUGGUGCGUACCAUUUCUGUUUUGUUUUUCUGCUUUAAUUUAUUAAUUAAAAAAAUGUUCUGUGCCUUUGUCCUUAUGUAGACCCGCAACAAUAAUACUUGUGUCCAUGCAACGUAAAUCGUCUCUACCAAAUUAAUAUAGCACCAUGAUGUCCCAUUUUUGCUGAAUAAUUUCUAUAUCGAUAAUUUCACACGAACAAAUAACACACAUUAAUUGAAAAGCAGGACGCUCACUGUGUAUGUGUGAGACCCCGCUCCCUUCUUCCCUUCCGGGAACUAGACAGAUCGGCUAUCAAAUCCAUGAGAUUUCGAAUCUGUCCGACGGUCGGCAGUCGUUUGGUUCAAAAGGUUCGUAAGACUUGUCUACUAUCUCUGCAAUCACCACGUGAUCUUUCUCCGUGUUUUUGUAUUCACUCACACAGUACCACGGACCACUUCCCGGUAUGUUAUCCAUUCUGAGAUUGCUCCAGUAUACGCACGCUUAACUUUGGAGUUUUCUCAAGACCAGUGCACUUUGAUGACAUAGGUAACCAAAUCAAUUCUUAUAAAUCUUUUUCAUAUAUACUAAAAAUCGAGAUAUCACAGUAAGUAUGAAACAAGAAUGAUUAUGGUGCUAUUAAUUCAAAUCGUUAGAAUGAUGAUCUUAUUUUUAUCUUGUAUCGAGUCAAAGUUUUGUUUGUGUUUUACCAUGUCCAAGUUUAAGUACCACAUAAUAUUUGUACAAAGUAAACAAAUCACUUGUUGUUGAGUUUUUUUUUGUUUAGAUCUCAAGGAUAUCAUCUAUGAUGGUUGCCUAGAGCUAUGGUUUGCCAUAAGAAGCUAGAUUCACUUUCAAGUUUCUUCUUCUAAACUCAGUUUAAAGCUAUACAUGUCGUAAACACGUUUUUCUUUGCUUGAAUAUACAUCAGUCAAAAAAAAAAAAAAAAUCCCUUGAUGCUUGCAAGAAGGGCGAUUAUUUUAUAAUAUGUAUGAGAGUUUAAACUCAUUUAUUUGAAACGCAAACUCAGACAUAUUAUUUGGUGGCUGAUAACAAAGCAAAAACAUGCAUGGAGUUGCAAGUUCCUUGGUUAGAGAAAAUCUAAUUAGGGAAAUACUUGGUUGAAGAUAUGGCUUCAAGUUCCGCUUGAACCAUCAACACAUCAUUGACAAGGAAACCCUUUGAUGAAUCUUUGAGAUCAGAGAGUGGCAUAAACUCAGGACGACCCCACCCAAAUCCAUCUCCAUAUCCCGGACCAUUGAACCAAUUAUCAACUGCCAAAAUAAAGAAAGCUCACAAGAAAGCACUCAUUAGUCACCGGGGAUGCAUGUCUCCAUAUAUAGCCAUGAAUAAAUAUGUUUUGCUUACUUAGUAUCUCUACAUUAUUAUUGAAUUAUCGUUGGUUAAGAACUCGAAGCUUGGCUCGAACAUAAAUCUUCUCAUAGGGUCUGAACUUCUCAUUGGCGUUAAGGAUAAGAUACAUCGACAAGGCUUUUCCCUCUCCCCAGGCACGACCACUUGGAUGCAAUUGUAUAUUCCUGAUCUCAUCAUUACGCAAUACUUGUUAGUACCACUAUAUACUCUUGAGUAAAAGCAAGAGAGCUUUCACAUUUUGAAAAUUAAUGCAUGUGGACUCACUCACCAACGUCUUCCUCCAAUGGAGAACACAUCUGAGUAGUAGGUAUCUUUGAGCAGCGUGGAGAAUCCCCGAAUGGUCCAGGUAAAUCUUGGGUUAUGGAAUCUCUCAGCGACAGUGAAAAGUUCAGAUUUUUCAAAGCGAGAAGGAAUGGUCACAUCAACACCAAACUCGCAGUGAUCUCCAUCGUAGAGGUAUCCAUUUUUCGAGUCUUUAAAUGUAUUAACAGGGAGAACCUGAGAGAAUCCCCACAUCGUUUUGAAGAGAUUGAAUCUCCAUCCAUGUGUAUCUGCAACAAAACAUAACAUAGAAUGAUAGAUAUUACUAUACACAAAAG
rnacentral:lncRNA from 1 species